GCCCGGGUAGCUCAGAUGGUAGAGCGCGUCCUUGGUAAGGACGAGGUCACGAGUUCAAUUCUCGUCUCGGGCUCCA
rnacentral:tRNA from 1 species